GCCCAGCCCAGCAGAGCCCUCCAGAGGUGGACGCCCAGCGGAUGGACGCGGCGCUCAGCCCGGCUCCGAGGACACCGCUGCUGGGUCAGCCCCUGUCACCCUGGCUCAUAGCCACGUCCUAAGCCAAAACCUCUAUGCCAGAGGAGGGGGCUCCUCUUUUAUCCCCAUUUGACGGACGAGGACACUGAGGCCGGGAAACCCAGGGACAUGCCUGAGGUCAGGUGGCCAGAGGUGAAACGUAUGUCCCUCUCUCUGAACACACAUAAAUAGCCUGCACAGGCCCCCAGAGCCCAUUUAGCUCAGGACAGAAGGCAGACAGGGAGACCUGGGUCCCGGCUCAACUCAGACACAAACAGAACCCGUCCUGCAUAUCAGACACGGGCUCCUGUCGAGGAGAAGAGCCAGGUGCCUGAGGAAAGGAGCCUCAGGAUGGUGUCCCAAGGGCCCUUGAGGAAAAGGACCAGGGCUGGGACCUGGCUGAGUCGAGGGGCCACUCGAGGGCCCAGUGACCAGGAAGACCCCGUGGAGUGAGUGUGUGACCCCUCGGGGGCCCAGGGACCAGGAAGACCCCGUGGAGUGAGUGUGUGACCCCUCGGGGGCCCAGUGACCAGGAAGACCCCGUGGAGUGAGUGUGUGACCCCUCGGGGGCCCAGGGACCAGGAAGACCCCGUGGAGUGAGUGUGUGACCCCUCGGGGGCCCGGGGGCCAGGAAGACCCCGUGGAGUGAGUGUGUGACCCCUCGGGGGCCCGGGGACCAGGAAGACCCUGUGGAGUGAGUGUGUGACCCCUCGGGGGCCCGGAGACCGGGAGGAUGCCGUGGAGUGGCUGCAUGACCCCGGCCGUGGCCACACGCUCUGGGAAGCCGGCCGCCCGCAACUCCCCAGCAGGACUCUGAAUACUGGCACUUGACCCUCAGGUGACCGAGACGCUGUCUGAGUCCUGUCAACGUCAGGAUGUGAGGGGAAGCUCUGGCUGCAGCCCCUACACUUCCAAGAGACGUCCAGGAGGCCCGGGGUGCUUGUGGUAUAGGCCAGCAGGGUCCUCACCAGAAACACCCCAAACAGCCAGCAGGCCUCACGGGACCAGGCCCCCAGGAGCCGGUGUCAAAGCUCCUGCAGCAGGAGCCCACCUGGCCCCAGUGCCCCAGGCCAGGACCGCAAGGGCCAGGCCUCCACCGGUGA
ensembl:lncRNA